rnacentral:tRNA from 1 species
UCCCUGGUGGCUCAGUGGUAAAGAAUCUGCCUGCAAUGCAGGAGACCUGGGUUCGAUCCCUGAGUUGGGAA